CAAGUCGAGCGGAUGAGAGGAGCUUGCUCCUCGAUUCAGCGGCGGACGGGUGAGUAAUGCCUAGGAAUCUGCCUAGUAGUGGGGGACAACGUUUCGAAAGGAACGCUAAUACCGCAUACGUCCUACGGGAGAAAGUGGGGGAUCUUCGGACCUCACGCUAUUAGAUGAGCCUAGGUCGGAUUAGCUAGUUGGUAGGGUAAAGGCCUACCAAGGCGACGAUCCGUAACUGGUCUGAGAGGAUGAUCAGUCACACUGGAACUGAGACACGGUCCAGACUCCUACGGGAGGCAGCAGUGGGGAAUAUUGGACAAUGGGCGAAAGCCUGAUCCAGCCAUGCCGCGUGUGUGAAGAAGGCCUUCGGGUCGUAAAGCACUUUAAGUUGGGAGGAAGGGCUCAUAGCGAAUACCUGUGAGUUUUGACGUUACCAACAGAAUAAGCACCGGCUAACUUCGUGCCAGCAGCCGCGGUAAUACGAAGGGUGCAAGCGUUAAUCGGAAUUACUGGGCGUAAAGCGCGCGUAGGUGGCUUGAUAAGCUGGAUGUGAAAUCCCCGGGCUCAACCUGGGAACUGCAUCCAAAACUGUCUGGCUAGAGUGCGGUAGAGGGUAGUGGAAUUUCCAGUGUAGCGGUGAAAUGCGUAGAUAUUGGAAGGAACACCAGUGGCGAAGGCGACUACCUGGACUGACACUGACACUGAGGUGCGAAAGCGUGGGGAGCAAACAGGAUUAGAUACCCUGGUAGUCCACGCCGUAAACGAUGUCAACUAGCCGUUGGGAUCCUUGAGAUCUUAGUGGCGCAGCUAACGCAUUAAGUUGACCGCCUGGGGAGUACGGCCGCAAGGUUAAAACUCAAAUGAAUUGACGGGGGCCCGCACAAGCGGUGGA
rnacentral:rRNA from 1 species